rnacentral:rRNA from 1 species
UACGAAGGGAGCUAGCGUUGUUCGGAAUCACUGGGCGUAAAGCGCACGUAGGCGGAUGUGUCAGUCAGGGGUGAAAUCCCGGAGCUCAACUUCGGAACUGCCCUUGAUACAGCACAUCUUGAGUCCGGAAGAGGUGGGUGGAAUUCCUAGUGUAGAGGUGAAAUUCGUAGAUAUUAGGAAGAACACCGGUGGCGAAGGCGGCCCCACUGGUCCGGGUACUGACGCUGGAGGUGCGAAAAGCGUGGGGGAGCAAAACAGG